rnacentral:miRNA from 1 species
GCUACACCAAGAGCUCCUCCAAACACUUGGCAACAUCACUUGAACCGUUCCUAUGAAGAGCUUGAAGAGAACUCAUGGAAAUAC